rnacentral:lncRNA from 1 species
UUGAUUUUCCAAAUAUAUUACAAUGAUAAAGUGACCAGUUAAUGUAUAAGCUCUUUGUGAAAGGUGGUGCCUACAGAUGGUCGACUGAUAGGAAACGGUAAAUGUGCAAACUGCUCAUUUCCCUUGAGAUUGGAGCCAUAAAAUGAUCUCAAUAAGAUAUGAGAAGAAAAUCUCUCUUUAACCCUUUUCUUAGCUGCAAUCCAAAUAUGGGGCUGUGUUUAGCUGUCUGGUGUGUCUCUUUCUCUGCUCCUCCCAGACUCCCACCUUUCCCCUGAUAACAAGUGAAGGGGGAAUAUCCGGAUAUGCAGACCUUGUGGUAUCCCUGACUCUACCUUGGGGCAAAGAGGCAAGGUAAGGUUCCAGUCAAAAGAGAAAGAUGAUCUAUAAAACAAGCAAAAGACCAAAAUUCAUGUGCCCCUUGCAUUCUCUAACUUGGUACUUUCUCCUUGAGCCUGGGCUUCUUCCAGAGGAAGUGACUGACCCCAGAUGUGAUGGCUGGGGAGCAAGAUGAAUGGAGCAGCCUCCUAGCAUUUAAACUAUAAAAUUCUGUGGAGAAAUGAUUAAAAAAGAGGUUUCUGAAGGAGAAGGAGAAAUCUCUCUCCUUGACUCCCUUUGGCACAAGUAGGGUUGGGGGAUGGGGGAGGGGAUAGGGGGAGGAGAUAGGGGGAGGGGAGAGGAGGAGGAGACAGGACGCCAGGAACUCAUGAAAAUGGUGACAAUCACAAGGAGGCAGGGAUGACCUCUUUCCCCAUUUCAUACCCCAUCCUAUUCAUCUCUCUGAACCCCAUUCAGAGACUAUCUCUUUCAAGAGAUCUUCCUUAACUCUCUGUGCAUUCCAGCAGCAUUCACCUACAGUGUGGGCCAAUCAAUAGUCACUGAUUUCUGGGAGGUGGGAAAGGGGCUACAUGAGGAUGAGGGGUGUCCUUUAUUUUUUAAAAAGUUUUUAUUUAUCAUUUUUUUUCAGAGAGAGAGAAAGAGAAAGAGAGAGGGGGGAGAAAGCGUGGAGAGAGGAGAGGCAGAAAGGGAGGGAGAGAGGGAGAAUUCCAAGCAGGCUCUGUGCUGUCAGGGCAGAGCCUGAUUGAUGUGGGGCUCAAUCUCAUGAGAUCAUGACUCGAACAGAAAUCAAGAAUUGGACAUUUAACCAACUGAGCCAUCCAAGCAUCCUGAGGGGUGUCCUUUAAAGUGGUCAUUCCAAGAACUGAAAUUCGUUGCAACACUGUUGCUGUGCUCCAAAUAUGGUUGAAAAUCUUUGAGAACUGCCUUUCAUGUUUGUUUUAGUCAGCUUGCACUGCUAUAACAAAAUACCAUACACCUUAGGUGGCUUGGAUAACAGACAAUUAUUUACCAUAGUUCCACAGGAUUAAAGUCUGAGAUCAGGGUACCAGCAUGGUUGGGUUCUUGGUGAGGAUUCUUUUCUUGGCUUGUAGAUGGCCACUUUAUUGCUAUGUCCUCAUAGGGCAGAGAGAGAACUCUGAGUCUCUUCCUCUUCUUAUAAUAACACUAAUCCCAUCGGGGGCCUCUACCACCUAAUGGCUCUUCCUCCUAAUACCAUCAUACUGGGGAUUAGGGCUUCAGCACAUAAAUAUGGGGGUGGGGGCACAAACAUUCCAUCCAUAAUAAUGUUUUUAUGAACAUCUUCAAUGGGAGAAAAGUCAUGUUAAUAAUAAUCACUCUCCUCUGAGUAUGAGUGACGUAUGCAAAUAGUUUCAUGUUCAUUAUCUCAUGUUAUCCCCAUAGUACAGUAAGAAGUAAAUAUCAUUAGCCAAUUACAACUGAGAACACAAAGGUUCAGAGUUCAGUAGCUUGCCUAAGGCCACAUAGCUGGUAAGUAGCAUACCCUAGAUUUGAACUGAGUGACUCCAAAGCCAAGACAUUGAUGAGUAUGCAUACUGCUCUGUCUUUUGAAGGUAGACUAAAGUCUGGGAAAUAACUAGUGUUUAAUGUCUGAAUGUGUUUACCUUCUCAUAUAAUUUAUAUCACCAAUGGAACUUCUCUGGGCAUUUUUUUUUUUAGCUCAAAGGGAAUUCUUUUUUUUCCCAAAGGGAAUUCUAAGAGUAGGAGUUUUAAGCAUUCUACUUCUCAGUGGCAUGAUGCCUGGGGAGAGAAGGGCAUCGACCUUCUGAAAUCAUGCCUUAAAGGCAACUGCCUAAGUGCCUUCUGUGGUACACACAUAGGGCCAACUUCAUUCUCAUCUAGCCUAAUCUGUAGCUCCUUGGGCCAUAAAGUGUAACUAGUGUUCACACUUAUUAUCUCCUUCUGUCUUCCCACUAUCCCCAGGCACUAGAUUGGUAUUAUUAAUAUUUUCAUUUUAGAGAUGAGAAAACUGAAGCACAGACAGGUUGAGCAACUUCCCUAAGUUUACACAGCAAAUGAGGGAAAGACCUAGGGCUCAUAUGUAGGAAUCUCUGUUUUUAUCAAUGAAAACUCAAUGAACAGAUGGAUGGUACAUCACAAAUGUUUCUCAUGUCCUAUCAAAAAUGAUGUCAAUUUGACAGAAAGAGUGAAAAUUCAUCUGUACAUUUUUUCCCUUACCUACAAGGUUCCCAUCCAUUAUUCAUGCAUUCCUUCAUUGUUCCUGUCACUCACUGAUUAAUUAAUUUAAUAAAUACUUUCGAAGCACAUUACUUGGUGCCAGCUACUGUCCUAGGUACUGGCUAUCUAAUCUAAAUUUACAAAAGGAAAUUGAACCAAUGGGCUGUUAACUGAAUUGACAAAGUGAUCCAAUUACUUUGGUGUUGGUGGAGACUUCGUUAGAGACCCCUCCAUAUUCUCAAUCUCCCAGAGGCUCCAGGAGAGAUGUGGGGUCUUCAAAAGAACUGCAGACGCACAACUACCUGUGAGCUUCGCCACUGGCUCCCACUUUUGAAAAGAUGACUGCGUGAUUUCUGAUUACAGCCAUUAGGCAAAAUAAAACACAGAGAACGCUGGCUCACCAGUUUCAUCCUGCUUAAUCAAAUAGCCUCAUUCAUCAUAUUCACUCACACUAUUCAGGGAAAGUGCUUUUCCGUACUUCAAAGAUGGGCAUGAGCAAGCCUGAUCUGUACUUCCCAUUUUGCUCUCCUUCCUUUUUAAAUACAAGCAGAUGAUCUUUCCUUUUUUUUUUCUCCCUUCCAAUUCCUGAUUGAGAGGCACAGCCUCAGCACAGCAGCAGUCCAGCCAGGAAGAAAUCUAAGCUGAGGACAAUAUUAUCCCUCAUGACACUCAUAAUUCAGCAGGAUUUCUUUCUAACUGACUUUGGGGCUGGGCCUGAGCAGGGACCAGAAUAUCAUAGAAUGUCGGGCUAGCAGCAUCCACAGAGAGAACACAUUCUGGCCACUCAUGUUACAGAUGAGGCCAGAGAGGGGAAGAAGCUUGUCCAAGGUCACACAGCAAGGUUGUUGCAGAGCAGGGGGCACCAGUUCCCAAAUUGGCAAUUCCCAAGCUAGUGCCCUCAACUGUCUUAUCACCAUGACUAUUGCUAAUACCACAGGAAACCCCAAACAGGGGCUUGGGUUCUUCAGCACCUUCCCUAAUCCUACAUUCAGGUAAAUUGCUGAUGGUUUCACACAGGAACCAAACCUUCUUUGUUUAUGAUAGAGGCCAAUUUGCAAAAUUGGUGAUAUUCACUCUAUUGUGCUUCUACAUCCUUCCUCUGGGUUCCUUUGCCAUUUCUGGGUGACUCAUUCUCUAGGCACAUUCCCCUAGAAUUUCAUACUGCUAACCAGGUUUUCUCCACAGAACCCAGGCUCUGGAAAGACCCCUUCCUCCUCCUUCCUUAGUCCUAGGUUUCAAGUAAAGAGGAAUGCUUUACACUCUCAUUUGAAUUGAGAUCUUACUGGUUAGCAACUAAUCUGGGAUGAAUCUCAAGGUUAAAUUUCAAGGGGUUUAGAUUUUAGAAAAAAGAUUUUUUUUAUAUAUUUUGCAAAAGGUGUGCAUAUAUAACUGUCCAUUUGCCAGUAUGGCUGGCCUAUAUAUUGUUUUUAAUUUUUUUUUUUUUUACCAUUUAUUUAUUUUUGAGAGAGAGAGAGAGAGAGAAGGGGAGGGGCAGAGAGAGAAAGACACAGAAUCUGAAGCAGGCUCCAGGCUCUGUCAGCUGAGAGCUGUCAGCACAGAGCUCGAUGUGGGGCUUGAACUCACAAGCUGUGAGAUCAUGACCUGAGACAAAGUUGGAUGCUUAACCAACUGAGCCACCCAGGUGCCCCGACUGGCUCAUAUACUGACAUUGUAUGGACGUAGCCUAAAACUUCCUAUAGCCUAGCACCUCCCCACCUCCCAGGCACACACACAUCCUGGGUAACUUAGAUGAUGUGAUUGAUGUAUAUGGGAGGUGAUUUUUUCCCUGUCAUCUGGCCUAGCUAAAAAUAAAUCUUUUGUAAAUCAAUGUUUAGCAAAAAAAAAUAAAUAAGUAUCAAUGAAAUAGCUUCCUUUAUCGAAUGCUUAUUUUGUAAUGGAGAUUCUGUUAAGAACCUUAUACAUAUAUGUCAUACUUUUUAAUUCUUACAACAACUGUGUUAGGAGUUGAACUGUAUCUCCUCCACCUCCACCCAAUUCAAUAUGCUAAAGUCUAACCUGUAAUACCUCACAAUGUGACUUAUUUGGAAGUAAAGUUACUGCAGAUGCAAUUUGUUAAGAUGAAUUCAAACUGAAAUGGAGUGGACUUCUAGUCCAAUAUGACUGUUAUCCUUAUAAAAAAAGGGGAAAUUUGGCCACAGAGACAGACACACGGAUGGAAUGUGAUGUGAAGAUGAAGAGAGAGAUUUGGGUGAUGCUUCUACAUCAAAAGACUGCCACAGAUCACCAGCACAUGACCAGGAGCAAGGAGAGAGGCAUGGAACAGAGUGCUCUUCACAGCCUCAGAAGGAACCAAUCCUGCUGACCCUUUGAUCUCAGACUUCUGGACUCCUGAACUGUGAGAUAAUAAGGAUCUCUUGAAGCCACCUGGUCUGUGGAACUUUGUUAUGGUGGCCCUAACAAAUGAAUAUAAAGCCUCUGUGCACUAUUUUCUUUAUUUUGCAGACAAGGAAGCAGAGGCUCAGAGAGGUUAAAUAACUUGCCUUAGAGCACACAGCUGGUAAGGAGCAGAGCCAGAAUUUAAACUUAGUACUGCAUGCUUUGUUGCUUUUAUGUGGGAAUCUGUUCUGGUAAGGAACAGAAAAGGUCAAUUUUCUCUGUAUUUCAAGCAGGAUGUGAUAAAUCUUCUUUCUCAGCCUGGCACAGGGCAGCUGGGUCUCCCAGUCCACACCCCAUCACCAACUCUGAGGUACAUCCUCUAUUUCCUCUCACAUUUUUCCCCUUCCAGCAACAGCAGAACCCCAAAUCAAUUGCCUCGGGCUAGCAUUAGAAAAAUAAAUUUUCUGGGGUGCCUGGGUGGCUCAGUCGGUUGAGUGUCUGACUUCGGUUCAGGUCAUAAUCUCGCCAUUUGUGUUUGAGCUCCACAUCGGGUUCACUGCUGUCAGCACAGAGCUGGCUUGGGAUCCUCUGUCCCCCUUUCUCUCUGCCCCUUCCCCACUGGUGCGCGCACUCUCUUUCUCUCUCAAAAAUAAACAUUAAAGAAAUAAAAAGAAAAAUAAAUUUUCUCACCCCAGUCUUCUCAUUUUAUUUGAUCUUAUUUUAAUUUUUGUUUAGCCCUGGGAAUACAUCUGAGGCCCUCAAAUACAGUGUACACUUUCAUACUGUUUCUGAGGUGGUAAAUACCAAAAUUCACCAGGAGUGGAGAGAAGGGUCAAGUUUAAAAUUAAAUGCUCCCUUAUUCCUGAUCUCUGUGGUCAAACGGCCCUCUUGCUGCCGUGUAUUCAUCCAUUCAGGCUUCAAACACACACACACACACACACACACACACACACACACCUGAAAGUUGAACUGGGCUCUUUUACCAAAGCCAAACAGACCAGCUUCCUCCAGGGCCUCCUCAUCUUACCGUCCAUCCAGCACUAAGCUCUAGUGGGCCCACCCUCAGAUGGCUUCUCCCACCAUCUUUCCUGAAGCCAAGAUCCAUGGUGGUCUUGCCUUAGCAGCUAUGGCAUUCCUGUCUCAGGGUUUUGACUGGGUGGAGAAAAGGGGAGCCCCAGGAUAGAGAAAUGGCCACCAGCUUGGAUUGGAUUCCAUUUCCAAAUCAUUUGAAUCUAGUGACCCUCAGCAGGAGGGUACUGGGAGACUUAUCCUUGGAAUUUCUGCAAGGAAGGACUUCUCAGCAUUUCCCAAGCUGAGAAAUUAUGUAAAACUAUAUUUUUUAAAGGGGACACUGUUAGUUUUCCAAUCCAUUGGCCUAGGACGUUGGUGUGACAAGGAUGCAGACAGUCUGCCAAAGUGGAGGGAGAGGGGGCAUGGUUGUCCAUCAGAAGGGACAGUCUGGGAGCAGGCAGAAGCAGGUCAGGCAGUUACAAACCAAGAGUGCAGCCUUGAGGCCAGGCAAAACAGGAGACCAGAAACAAGAAAGUAGGUCAAUACUAGAUCAAAACUGUGCAGCCCCAACAAGGCAGCCUUGCUACUCCUCAGACAGGAAGCUCUUUAUUUCCCUUGACAGAGUAGGAAUCAACACCUAAGUCCCAGGGCAACACCAGAUUGAGACCUAAGAGCUCAAAGUGUCCAUCAUUCUGAGCUUAUGGAAGAUUCUUAUCUAUGACUCAAAGUAACAAUAGCAAUGGUUUUCCUUUAUUGCACAAUGUCUCUGUGUCCUGGGUCAACUCAAGGACUUUAUCUUUGAGGUAGCUUCUAUUACUCUCCUCAUUUACAGAUGACAAAGUACAGAGGAUAACUUGCCAAACAUCACACAGCUAGUAAGAAGUAGUGCCAGCCACUCAGAUAAUUUACUCUUAGAAUUCUGUCCAUCAGAUAGGAAAGUACUUUUAAGGUUGUAGUCUUCAGACCCUGUCCUCUUGUAGGUUAACCUCCCAUUUACUAGGCUUACUAGGUUCACAUUCCCCUUAGUUGCUGAUAUGAGUAUUCUGGUGCCCAGAGAACUCUUUUAACUUCUAAUAAGCUGGAGAAGUUCUUCUCAUGAGGAGGGAAAAGAAAACCAGGUCCAGAGUUUAUGCUGAAAUCCCAGGCUACCCAAUUGCUGUUAUGGUCCUGGAGUGAGUGCCCAUAGGUGGACCUGGCCAGGGCUGGGGGUGGAUGGAGCAUUAGGAGGCAAUCACAUAGGAUUCAGAGUAUGUAUGUGAGAGCAAAAGCUAUAGAGCAAUACUUCUGGAUUUAGUCCAGGCUGUCACGAAUUAAUGGCUGACAGAAAGAAAAGAAAGACUUGGAAAAAAAAUUCUUGAAAGCUGUGUUUGCAUGGAGAGGAGCUCAGUCUGAGCUGCCUGGAGAAGGCCUAUAUUCAUGCCCCUUUGGAAGCCCUGGCCAUCCAUUUUCAUUAGUUUUAUGAUUUGAUCAACUUACAAAGGUCACUUUUUAGCUUCCUGUGAACCACAAUAUUAUGACUGGGCUUAAAUAAUGCCAAAGCGAUUCAUUGAGAAGGGAAACAUUCAGUUACACCAGUCACUGGGCACUGAAACUAGCUUUCCAAAGCUGAAUUGCUCCCUUGUAAGGCAAGGGUCUUGCUUAUGAAAACAGAGCACAGAGUCUCCAAGGACUGCUCCAUAUAGGGCAGAGCCUGGGGGAGACUGUCCAGGUAGGAAGUGUGAGCUGGCACCACUUCUCUCCCUGGAGAGUGGUGUGGUCUCUUUUCUUUGAGUUCCCCCACACUGUGACUCCUGUGCCUCUCCCACCCCUAACACUUGCUAGUGUAGACAUGGUGCCAUCUUCUUGAAAAUUCUGCACCAAGUGUAGACACAACUCUUCUGUGUUUUUCCUUAGCACAGCAGAGACCAGUCUACAAUGAUGUGGCUAAUUACAUGUAAUGAUUUCUUUGGCAUCUCUUCCUCGCUAGCCUCUAAGCAUCAUAGGAGCAAGAACUAGAUUGGCUGUUUUCAUCCCCACAUCCCGGCACCUACCACAGUGUGCGAAGCCCAUUGUAGAUGCUCCAGGAAUAGCUGCUCAUUGACAUUUUUUUUUAAAGGGAAAACCAAAAGAGAAUAUCCCAGAAAAUACAGACAGCAUGAGAAUCGGUAGUUUCUUCACUGAAUACUGCUAAACAUCAAAUCCUUUAUUCUAACCCAAGUUAACCACACAUGGGAAUCUGAAAAGCAAAUCAUAUACCUUUGCUAUUUCAACGCCAACUCUGCAAUGUCUUUCCCUGAUCUUGAGAUGCUAGAGGUCUCAGAUAACAUUGGGGUUACAUAGGGUCAUUGGGAAAAUUAAAGGAGAUACUGCACAGAAAAUGCCCAGUGCCUAGUAUGGCCAAUAAUGAACUCCGUGUGUGUCCCUCAUAGCUCUGUGCUGGGUUCUUAGCCAGGUAACUUUGUUGGCACUGGAUUACCUCUAGGCACUACAAGCUGGUCUUCUUGUCUAUUUUCGUAGCAUAGGACAGACAUGAACCUUUAAUUUAACUUUCUUCUUAGAUCAUUACUACAUUUUUACUCUUGGUUUCUAAUCUGAGGGAUGCUAUUCAUUGCUUGCUUGAGUGGAAAUGGUAUUGUUUAGCCUUCAGCAGAAUGGGUUUCCUUUAAACAGUUGCUUUGGCUAUUAUAUAUAUCAUCUUAAUCAGAGUCUUACAUAAAAAUAUCUCUUUCUUUUGUAAACACACAUGCAUGAACAUACAUGUGUGCACACACAUGGAGCCUUUGUUUAAAGUUUUACCUGACCUCUGUCAAACUAGUUUGUGUAGGGGCGCCUGGGUGGCGCAGUCGGUUAAGCGUCCGACUUCAGCCAGGUCACGAUCUCGCGGUCCGUGAGUUCGAGCCCCCGUCGGGCUCUGGGCUGAUGGCUCAGAGCCUGGAGCCUGUUUCCGAUUCUGUGUCUCCCUCUCUCUCUGCCCCUCCCCCGUUCAUGCUCUGUCUCUCUCUGUCCCAAAAAUAAAUAAACGUUGAAAAAAAUUAAAAAAAAAAAAACUAGUUUGUGUACAUACAGAUAACAGGAGGUGAAUCCUCUCGGCUGUAGGGUCAAAAAUAUUUCUUUGUGUUUUUCAGGCAGGGUUGUGGUUUCAAUAGUAAUAGAAGGGACCCCUUCCCCCAUUAGCAUAUGUUCUCCUUGACCUGCUUGAGCCAGUCAUGCAGAGAAAUGCUGAUUUGCUGCCUACUAUCACAGGAAUGAUUUUGAAGGUUUAAUUCAAGUGAUUUUAU